CAACCGCCCGCCGAUUCCAUCAUCAUUGAGAGGAAUGGAUAUGAGGGGUGAGUGCACACACUUUAUUCAAGUACCAAGCAGAAUACAUAUCAAGCAAACAAUUCGUUUGCAUCCCAGGCGUUGAUUUCACAAUGGAGGGACGAAAUCAGUUGAUCAUAUCUAGUGACUAGUGGUUUGUCGUUCUGUCAGUUAAUUCCCUAUCCCCUUUCUAAACCCUCGCCGCCCACUUCCGUCCCGCUCCUCGCACCUCCCCAACCCCCGUCGCCGGCGCCGUCGCGGAGAAGAAACCUCGCCGAUGUCUCUGGCCCGCCUCGGCCAGUCGCUGGUCCGCCGCCUUCACCGGCCUCUCCACCUGCCUCCGCCGCUGCCGCCAGAUCACUAUGCCACCGUUUCCCGAUCUUUAGCUCUGAUCCACGCGAAUACAUCUGUAAGAGGCUUUGCAAGCUUAGCAUACAAUGGCGGCGGCGUGAUUUCUGGCAAGUUUGGAGGGCCGUCGCAUGUCCACACCGCGCAGAUUCUAGAGCUUGCAGUCCACCUAAAUCAUGCAAGACCAAUGUCGUCAGGAGCAGGAGCAGCCCCAAAACCACCAUCCCUGUCCGAAGGCGUUUCUUUUGGUGGUUACAAGGUUGCUUUGAAAGCUGACAUGCCGAGCCCUGGUUUUGUUUUUGAGCCAUACCGUGUCCCGGAACCUAUCCCAUUUUGGAAAAGAUUGUUUACACCAAGUGGCUGGAGUAGAACAAAAGAGGAUGCUAUUCUGCAGUUCAUGAAUGCAUUUACUGUGUCAAAGUUGAGGAAGAAAAUCGGAUAUAACAAAAAACAGUUCCAGGAGCAAGCGUUUAAUAUAUACAAGGAGGUUAACAAGCUUAUUGCACGAGGAGACAUACCAUCUCUCCAGAAAGCUCUCACAGAUGAUAUGCAUUCUACUGUCAAAAAUGAAAUAAGGAAAAGACAAUCCAAGUGGAAAUCUGUACACUGGGAAUUGGUGGAGCCUGCUGUAAGCAUAAGAACUUUGAAGGCUCGUAUGAUUACUCUUGAUAAGAAUGACCUUAACAAAGCUUACGUACAGCUUACGCUUGAGUUCAUCACUAAGCAGAAAUUUGAAGCCUAUAAUUCAAAAAGAGAGGUUGUGUCAGGAGACAAGUCAAAGGAGGUGCUGGUGAAAGACAUAUGGGUGUUUGAAAGAUCCCUUUUCCACCCUGGAGCAUACUGGCGCGUGUGUGCGCGAAUCACGCUGUAAUAAUCUCAUGGCAAGUGCAUUCCAUCCCGCAUGAGUUGAGUGACGGCUUUUAUUAUGCACAGUAGUUUGAAUAAAUAUUUUGCCCUGGCGCCCUUUUCCCCUUCUCCUGUCUAACUGAUGUAUAACAAGAUCUCUAGACAUAGGCAGCAAUGGUAGGUUAUUUCUUGUUCCUUGGGGAACUGUCAGCUGAGCUGAAGAUAAAGGUUGGGUAACUCAGUCCGCCUGGUGUGCUGUUGCGCUCUUUGACUGCUGCUCUAGUUUCUUUUCCGCUCCCGGAAGGCAGUAAGCCGCGCCAAAUUCCAUAUAAUCAUCCUGUGCAACCCGGCGCUCGAUUUUUCCGAGACGUCGUUUUGUGGGGAACCAGUUGAGCAUUGCGCCAUGGAAUGUUUGCCAUCCUUCUUCUAUAGUGCAUCCAUUUGUACUGCUCCCAUGUUUUAGAACCAUGUCCGUGCUGGAACCUGGAAGUUUGCCUUGGGCGCUCACAGGUGCCCUGUAUGUAUUCCGUAGUAUCUUCUACACUAGAAUCCCUGAUGGACGUCAUGAUACCGUUGCCCCAUCUGUCCUUUCUGGAAAGUAGAAUGUGAUGUGGAUAGAGUAGUCAUCACUGGGAGCUCCGGAAUUUUAAAGUAUUUGCGCGAUAUUAUGUACA